CAUCACAAGGGAACAACUGGUCAUGUUCCAUGACCUUGGCUAUCCAGCAUCCAAAAUUGCAUCUCUCCUUGGCUGUUCCAAGUCAUUAGUCUACAAGCGUCUGCAUUCCGAGGGCAUUUAUCAGUCAAGACGGUAUUCUGAUAUCUCAAAUGAUGAAAUUGAUGCUGAAUUAAGUAGCAAAGAUUCAUGAACGCCAUCUCAAUGCUGGAUCACUGAUAUUGGCUGGAUAUCUUGAAGGAAAAGGCAUAUGUGUGCUACGUAGAAGGGUGUGAGGUCAUUAAGCUACAGUAUAGAUCCUUCAGGGGAAAGGAUGAGUAGGUCAAUUGCGAGAAGACAAUAUUUUGUCAAUGGACUAAAUUCCUUAUGGCACAUAGAUGGCCACAUGAAGUCGAUAAGAUGAGGUAUUGUCACUCAUGGUGGUACCUAAGACAGGUGGUAUACUUGUCUCGUAGCAAGAAUAACAAGUCAUUGACUGUUCUGGAAAAGUUUGUUGCUGCCUUCAAACGAUAUGGUGUGCCUGGAAAAUUAAGAUGCUACCAUGGACGUGAACAUAUUCACAUCGGCAUGUUCAUGAAUAUGAUCAAUGGUUUGGAU